CAUUUCAGACGACGCUUGCUUCAGUUUUUGCUCUGCUGUAGAAUCAGUUUCCUCCGGAUAGCUCCUUUUAUUUGCAUUCGAGAUGUUUUCCGUCAAAAAGUUAAUAAACGUUUCUAUUUCGCCUGAAAAAUUUAUCAUUGCGCGUGCAAUUUCAACGAUAUCCUCGGGUUCAGCCUUUUGAAAAAGUCUAUUAUCUUUAAGUCUCUUUCUAAUCUUGUCCCUUGCAUCCAAUUUUUUUU
rnacentral:lncRNA from 1 species